rnacentral:rRNA from 1 species
AACACAUGUCUUUUUGAUAAAAAUUUAAAGUCCGGUCUGCUCACUGAAUUAUUUUAAAGAGCCGCAGUAUAUUGACUGUGCAAAGGUAGCAUAAUCAAUAGUUUUUUAAUUGAAAACUAGAAUGAAAGAUUAGACGAAAAAUUAAUUUUCUUUAUUUUAGUAAAUUUAAUUUUAAAUUUAAGUGAAAAUGCUUAAAUAAAAUUAAAAGACGAGAAGACCCUAUAGAUUUUUAUUAUUGAAAUAAAUUUUUAAAUUUAAUUUAAUAAAAUAAUUUAAUUGGGGCGAUUUUAUAAUAUAAAUAACUUAAUUUUUUAAAACCAUAAAUAAUUGAAUGUUUGAUCUAAAAUUUUUAAAGGAAAGAUUAAAUUACCUUAGGGAUAACAGCGUAAUUUUAUUUAAGAGUUCAUAUCUAUAAUAAAGUUUGCGACCUCGAUGUUGAAUUAAGAUAAUAUAUUGGAGUAGAAAUUAAUAUAAUUAGUCUGUUCGACUAUUAAAUUCUUACGUGAUCUG